GACGAACGCUGGCGGCGUGCUUAACACAUGCAAGUCGAACGGAAAGGCCCCUUUGGGGGUACUCGAGUGGCGCACGGGUGAGUAACACGUGAGUAACCUGCCCUUGACUUCGGGAUAACUUCAGGAAACUGGGGCUAAUACCGGCUAGGAAUCCUUGCUGCAUGGUGGGGGUUGGAAAGCUUCGGCGGUUUUGGAUGGACUCGCGGCUUAUCAGCUUGUUGGUGGGGUAGUGGCUUACCAAGGCUUUGACGGGUAGCCGGCCUGAGAGGGCGACCGGCCACAUUGGGACUGAGAUACGGCCCAGACUCCUACGGGAGGCAGCAGUGGGGAAUAUUGCACAAUGGGCGGAAGCCUGAUGCAGCAACGCCGCGUGCGGGAUGACGGCCUUCGGGUUGUAAACCGCUUUCAGCAGGGGCGAAGCUUGUGGUGACGGUACCUGCAGAAGAAGCACCGGCUAACUACGUG
rnacentral:rRNA from 1 species